AAGUCGUAACAAGGUUUCCGUAGGUGAACCUGCGGAAGGAUCAUUACCUAGAGUUUGUGGGCUUUGCCCGCUACCUCUUACCCAUGUCUUUUGAGUACUUACGUUUCCUCGGCGGGUUCGCCCGCCGACUGGACAAAAUUAAACCCUUUGCAGUUGCAAUCAGCGUCUGAAAAACAUAAUAGUUACAACUUUCAACAACGGAUCUCCUGGUUCUG
rnacentral:misc_RNA from 1 species